GACGAACGCUGGCGGCGUGCCUAACACAUGCAAGUCGAACGGGACUUAAGGGGCUUGCUCCUUAAGUUUAGUGGCGAACGGGUGAGUAACGCGUGAGAAACCUGCCUCUCAGUGGGGGACAACAGUUGGAAACGACUGCUAAUACCGCAUAACACAGUUGAACCGCAUGAUUUAACUGUCAAAGCUUUAUGUGCUGGAAGAUGGCCUCGCGUCUGAUUAGCUAGUUGGUGAGGUAACGGCUCACCAAGGCGACGAUCAGUAGCUGGUUUGAGAGGAUGAUCAGCCACAAUGGGACUGAGACACGGCCCAUACUCCUACGGGAGGCAGCAGUAGGGAAUUUUGCGCAAUGGGCGAAAGCCUGACACAGCAACGCCGCGUGAUUGAUGAAGCCCUUCGGGGUGUAAAGGAUCUGUCAGUGGGACGGAAACUUGACGGUACCCACAGAGGAAGCAUCGGCUAACUCCGUG
rnacentral:rRNA from 1 species